GCCUCCGUAGUUCAACUGGAUAGAAUGUCUGACUUCGGAUCAGAGGGUUGUGGGUUCGAAUCCUACCGGGGGUACUA
rnacentral:tRNA from 1 species